UUGAAGACUUGAAUACGUUUGUUACAACAGGAUUGAAUUUGUUUACAAAGAAAAGUAUUAUGGAAAUAGCAUCUUCUCAAUUGCUAAAAUCUAUUUAUUCUGGUCAAGUAAGUAUCUUUCUUAAGUUUGUAAGUAUCUUACUUAAGCUCGGAUAGCUCAGUAGGAUAGCACGCUUCUAUUAUUGUGAUUUAUCAAUUGCCGUAGCAGUAGGAUUGCAGAUUCAAAUAUACUUUUUGCCAGCUCAGGGUACUAUUUAAUUAUCUCUUCUAUUAUAAAUUUUCUUUCUUUACUAGUAAGCAAAUAAUCUAGUUGAGUAAAUAAGCGUUAUUGUUUAUCCUUUUAUCAUAAAACGUUUAUUGUCUAUACCUAAAACAAACUUUAAAGUCUACAGAGUUCUUUAAAUACUGUGUUCUUAAAAAUAUAUUUCAACAUUUGUUUAUUUAUUGUGAGUUGUUCAAACAUCAGUUUGGAAACAAAAUGAUGAGUAAUAUUUUAAUGUAAAUCUUUUGCAAUAUUUUAUUUUUAUUCAAGUAUUCAAUUUUAAAUACUUGAAAUCAAAUAGUUUUAUCUUCAACUAAUCAACUUUUAGUCAAAAUUAAUAACAACUUACUAAUGCUAAAUCCUUAAAUAAUAUUUUUGUAUUUUAUGUUCAGUUAUACAGUUACAGACAUAACUGGUUUAUUGCUGGUGGAGAAGAUAAAAGUUUGUAUUAUAUAAAAAUAUAGGACUUAACACUCUAUUAUUUCAUUUGUUUUAUUUUUAUUUUUAUUUUUUUUCUGAUUAUUUGAAAUGUUUUUGCAUUUCUAUUUAUUUAUUUAGAAAAUCUUUGUAACGGAGAUCUUCUUAGUCUUUUGUCAGAAGAUCAAUCACAUGAUCUUUUUAAUGCUUUUGUUUUAGCUUUUAACAAGUUGAAGGAUAGUGACUAUGUAUUUAAAGUUUUAAUGCCUGAAUCAAUUGUAUUUUUAUUUGCUAACGCUAGUAAUGUGUCAAGAAUAAAGGCUGAAGUAGCUCUGAGUGCUUACAUUUCUGAAAGAGAUAAAAAACGUUUCUGUAGCUCACCAGAAGCAUAUUGUACGACUGAAAUCCCUUGAAGAUAUUGGCAAAUCAUCUAAAAGUUCUAAUGAUUUAGAUAUAAAGACAACUAUUAUGAUUGAUGAACCACCUGGAUGUUCAGCAAAUGCGCAGAUACAGGGGAAGGGGGGUAAUGUGGGUAAUGCAUUACCCCCACCAGACUUUCAAUUGUUUUUUUUUACUCAAAUGAAUGUGUUGUGGUGGUUUCAAUCAAAACGUUUUAAAGCUUAAUCAAAUUGGCUGUCGUUUUGCACAUGAGCUAAGUUCCAGUAUUUGUGUGUUGAAUCGCCUUGUUUUAAAAUCGCCUGUAUUUACUAUCUUAAUAUACUAUGGAAUAUUACUAAAUAUACUUAAUAUACUAAAAAGGCGUAAGAUGACAGACUAUUUUCAACAAAAGUAAUAGUUUUUUUAUAAAGUGUAAAAGUUUUUUUUC